rfam:Clostridium bartlettii CAG:1329 genomic scaffold, scf43
AACCUAAGUAGAGGCGCAAUGAUUAUCAGUAAGUAAUAUGAGCUGGCGAGUGUAGAUGAUUACUGAAAGGAUGAUUUGCCGAAGUUUAUAUCUUGGCGAAGAUAUAUGCUGGGGUCAUGCAGAAAAUGCAUGAGACUGUCACUUAUCUAAGUGGGGGGCUACAGGUUUA